rnacentral:lncRNA from 13 species
CAAGGCCUGCCCCCAAGGAGUUUGUGACCCUGCCUAGUGGCACUGGAGACAGGACAUAGUAAAAAUAAAGAUAUUUUAUAUCUCUCAUUUGUCAAGAACCUUCAAAUGUAAUAGGUCAUUGAGCAUCACAGCAACCCUGCAAGAACAAAUAAAAGGAACAGAUGCAGGGACUCCUCUGCCAACAGCACGUGACCUCUCCUUGGGGCCUGGAGGGUCACAGGGGAGCAGCCUCCCAACACUGGACACACAGGAAUGGCAGGACAACACCCGCCCCAGAAUGCUGCUCUAGAGACACGGGAAAAUCUUCAGCAACAGCAGCGCUUUCUUCCCGCGUCCUCAUGGCCUGUCUUCCUCUUUUGCUGCUAAGGGGGACCAAACCUGAGCCAGAGUGGGGGCAAGCUGGGAGAAAUCCAAAGGACUGCACGACGGCACUGGAAGAUCCAUUACCACGUCCCAAUGAGUCCUUACUUGUCAAAGAAGUUAAAACCUGUUUCUUGGCCAUCUGGCUGAACUUGCUGAUAACUAAGGCAACUGAAUAAAUACCCAGACCAGUGAAGUCUGUCUGAAGUAUCCACAUUUCACUUAUAUUGGGUGGCAUUCUACAGACAACAGUGAAAUUGUUCUUGCAAAGACAAACCUGUC